rnacentral:rRNA from 1 species
UACGUAGGGGCCUAGCGUUGUCCGGAUUUAUUGGGCGUAAAGAGCUCGUAGGCGGCUUGGUAAGUCAGGUGUGAAAUCUCCACGCUCAACGUGGAGGGGCCACCUGAUACUGCCAUGGCUUGAGUCCGGUAGGGGAGUGUGGAAUUCCCGGUGUAGCGGUGAAAUGCGCGGAUAUCAGGAAGAACACCUAUGGCGAAGGCAGCUCUCUGGGACGGUACUGACGCUGAGACGCGAAAGCGUGGGGAGCGAACAGG